UACUAAACUUUAAAACCCUUUUCAUUUCUCUGAGUUGUCACAUCUUAACCCUAACUAUUCAUCUCUCCUUCAUCUUACGAAAUUCUGCAAAGUGAUUAAGAAAAUCAUGGAUUUCAAUGUCAGAUCUUCAUUUCGUUCCCUUGGCACCGCUCAUCAAUAAUUUUGCUUGCCUAAUUUUCUCUUCCUGCCGGCCUUCAAUGGUGUUUAAUUUUGUCUUCUCAUUGUUAAUAAAAUUGAGAUUAUUGAGUUCAAUUAUGUGCUACCGUUCAAAUAAAAUUCUAGAAAGUUCCAAAAGAAAUAAAGGGGUUUUGGCUAAAUUAUAUGAAAGGAGACCCUAAUUUCAGCCAGAUCUAAUCCUUUAUGUUGAAAUUCCAAUUUCAAUAAGCUCCUGAUUCAAUUUUCCUCUCAGGUAUUUAUCCUAACAGUAUUAAAAGGAAUCAAGCAUCGUCUUGCUGUUGAUUGGAAAAGGCAAUGUAGGAGCAACAAGAGAAUAGGCCGAGACACUUGAGCAUAAAAUAAGCGACUAAAUCGUCUAUAACGCCGUCAUCUAUCUAGUUUGGUUUUUAGUCUUAUUUAUAUUAGUGAUGUAUUUAUUUAGGAACAAGCUACUAUAAUAUGCGACUUUUUUUUAAUAA